GACAGAGGGUGCAAACGUUGCUCGGAAUUACUGGGCGUAAAGCGCGUGUAGGGGGACCAGCAAGUCAGGCGUGAAAUCCCUAGGCUCAACCUAGGAACUGCACCUGAAACUUCUGGUCUUGAGUGGUGGAGAGGAAAGCAGAAUUCCUGGUGUAGAGGUGAAAUUCGUAGAUAUCAGGAGGAACACCGGUGGCGAAGGCGGCUUUCUGGACACUUACUGACACUGAGACGCGAAAGCGUGGGGAGCAAACAGG
rnacentral:rRNA from 1 species